UACGGGGGGGGUAAGCGUUGUUCGGAAUUACUGGGCGUAAAGGGCUCGUAGGCGGCCAACUAAGUCGGACGUGAAAUCCCUCAGCUUAACUGGGGAACUGCGUCCGAUACUGGAUGGCUUGGAUUUGGGAGAGGGAUGCGGAAUUCCAGGUGUAGCGGUGAAAUGCGUAGAUAUCUGGAGGAACACCGGUGGCGAAGGCGGCAUCCUGGACCAACACUGACGCUGAGUGAGCGAAAGCCAGGGGAGCAAACAGG
rnacentral:rRNA from 1 species